UUGCGGAGGUUCAAUUACGCUCCGAGAAGUGUGGUUGCGGAGGUUCUGGGGUGCCAUGGUGCGCACGGUGCUGACUCCCUGCGCACUAGGUUUAGAAGAGUAGAUGUUUACAGUU